rnacentral:lncRNA from 1 species
GUUUUGGUUUGCAUACAUAGUAGAUGAAGCAGUUUUUUCAUACUUUAAACAAACAAGUAAUAAUUCCGACCAAAAUGAAGGUAGUGAUUUAAGUGCUGAACAGAGAAAAUUCAGUAAAAUUCUGCUCUCAGAGGCCUCAUGGACUAGUUGUGUCGAUAGGCAAUUUCAACAUGAGAUCAUUGGAGAGGAAUAUAUCAUGUUCACUGGAAGAAGGCAAAAGAAUGUAACGACUGGAGGAAGCUUAGCAGGCAUUCAACGUUGUAUAAACUGAUUCUCUAAGCUUUUUGGAGGAGGGUUUCUGAAUGCACGGCAUUGCUUCAACAAAGGUCAACACAUGAGGACCACAUCGGUGGUAUACCUUGUCCUCCAGAUUCCAAUUGGGUUUUGCAAAUGGCGGAAAGGAGAAGAAUGAGAAUCACAACUGGCGGUGCCUACAAGGUACAUCCCAGCUUGCUGGAAAAUUUUUUUUUCACAAGGCUCUAAAGGAGAAGCUGUUUCCUUGCUGUUUUCAGCUUUGAGAGGCUGCCUGCAUUCUUCCGCCGUGACUCCUCCUUCCAUCUUGAAACCCAGCAGCAUAGCAUCUACAAAUCUCUCUCACCUCUGAUUCCAAGGGAUAAGGAUAUCACCUACCUUGUUGGGUUGCUGAGAUAACUGGAUGAGUUAACGUACAACAGUGCCUGGAAUGUAGUGAGCACGGAAUAACAGAGGAGAUUUUUACCCUCCUAUUGCAAGAAGUUUAAUCUUCAUACAAGGUGAUGGGUUGAUACAUAAAUUGAGAGUGAAGUCAAGAUCUCCUCACUUCCUGAGAGGUAUUAAGUUUCUGGCUAGACUUUGACUGGAGCUGUGUCUACCACAGACCACGCCUCCAAAUGUUGCUGCUGACCAAGUCCCCAAAUGAAAAGGAAACCUCAAGUAAGUCGGCUAGAUGUCCAUCUAGAAAACACCACUGAGAUAGACAGGUUGACAACUUGAUUAUGUAGACAAGAUGUCAUAUUAACAAUUAAUAGCCUGUGAUAUUAACAAAUGGGGUUAAUGACAUUAACAAAAAGGAGUAUUUAGAAGAGAAUGUCUGCUCUCGGUCUAGGUACUUCUGCUUAUAAUCUUCUCAUGUCUCUUUUCCUUUUUUGUUGCAAAAUCUCUCUGUUUAGUGGUGUGAUUCACCCUUCCCAUCAUGCUCUGCUUGAGUUGAAUGACCUGACAUUAUCCACCUUUCCCUGAAUGAUGCAGAAAUCCAUAAGAUCCUGUAUCUAGGACUUUUCCAAGGCACCAUGGCCCAAAUCCCAAGUACCGGGUUGGAUCUCAAUGUUUGCCCACCAUCCAUAUUCCAACCUCCUAGUUAUCAAAGGAAGAAGAAAUAGGAAAAGAAUGUCAAAGACCAUGGAAAAUCUAAACAUCAAGUGAAUUUUAAAAGGCUAAGCCCAUCAAAGGACACAAUCAACAGAGCUUGAUCCGUGUCUUCCCCAAGAGGCAGCAAGGAGAAGCAGCCAAGGGAAGCAGGAGAGGCUCAGUAUCCUCUUUUGGAUGCUGCCCCUAAGAACAAACCCCUCCCACGUUUUCUACCUUACGCAGAAGAAAAUCUGAGCAACACAGUCUCAUGUGUUUCCUGUGUAUCCCAUAGGGGUAUGGUCCAGUCUCUCUCUCUCUGGAAAAGGCUACAUUUUUCUCUUAGAUUAAAGUCGCCACUUCGGAAACCCAUUUUAUUUUUGAGGACGAUUAGCCCUGAGCUAACAUCUGCCACAAAUCCUCCUCUUUUUGCAGAGGAAGAUUGGCUCUGAGCUAACAUCUGUGCUCAUCUUUGUCUAUUUAAUAUGUGGGAUGCAUGCCACAGCAUGGCUUUGUAAGGGAUGCGUAGGUCCGCAACCGGGAUAUGAACCAGUGAACCCUGGGCUGCUGAAACAGACUGCUCGAAUUUAACCACUAUGCCACCGGACUGGCCCCUGGAAAACCUUUUGAAAUUCCCUACUUUUAAAACUACACACAUGUCUAGCCUAUGACCUUGUAUUUCCAUUCCAUAGAUAAAUGGGUAUCUUUGUCUACCAAAUGAGAAGAAUAAGAAUUUCAUAGAAGUCUUAUUCAUAAUAGCUAAAAACUAGAACCCAAACAUCUGUCUACAGUAGAAUGGAUAAAUUGCAGAAUAUUAAUAAAGGGGAAUUCCAUGCAACAAUAAAAGAGAAUAUCUGCCAUAAGCAACAGCACAGUUGGACCUCACAGACAUAGUAACGAACGAGUGAAAGAAGCUAGCCACAGAAGAGUACACACACUGUAUGAUUCAAUUAUGUGAAAUUCAGGAACAGGAGAAACUCAACUGCGGUGGCAAAAAGCAGAAUAUUGGUUACCUGAUUUGGGGGGUCAGGCAGGGCCAGUAGGUAAGAACUUAGGAAGGGGCACAAAGGAUCCCUCUGGGGUGUUGAAAAUAUUCCAUAUAUAUGUAAAAAUCCAUUGAUUUCUGCACUUAAGAUUUGUGUAUGGAUCUACACUUCAAUAAACCUUUUUUAUAAAUGAUCAUUGACUCUUUCCUCCCAACAGCUGGAAAUUGCUAGAAUUAUGUAUACGGUGGUGUUUCAGUCUACUGCUCUUUCCCUUAGCAGCCACCCACUUUGGGUUCUCCAUGUUUUUUUCAUAAGGGAGUCCCUCUUAGGAAAGCCGGUAUUUUGACCACAACAAAAUAUUUUGAAGUAAGAAUUGAAACACAAAUUUACAGAAACAUUUUAACAAAAAACCGUUUUCAUUAUACAUGCAAAUUCAGGACAGAUGUGGUCAGAGGAAUAACCCAAGUCCACCCACCACUAGAAGAAAAGUAAAACUUAAUAAGAAUUUUUGAAAUAUUGUAAUGAUUUUCUCCCUGGCUUCUAGUCAAGACUGCAACAGAAAUUCAGAAAUGCCACCAGAAAGGCCUCUCCGGGUACAUGUGACUAGAAUUCUCAGACAGUACUGAGUGGCUGGGGAAACCUCACAGAGCUUUGA